rnacentral:rRNA from 1 species
GAUGAACGCUGGCGGCGUGCCUAAUACAUGCAAGUCGAGCGAACGGACGAGAAGCUUGCUUCUCUGAUGUUAGCGGCGGACGGGUGAGUAACACGUGGAUAACCUACCUAUAAGACUGGGAUAACUUCGGGAAACCGGAGCUAAUACCGGAUAAUAUUUUGAACCGCAUUGUUCAAAAGUGAAAGACGGUCUUGCUGUCACUUAUAGAUGGAUCCGCGCUGCAUUAGCUAGUUGGUAAGGUAACGGCUUACCAAGGCAACGAUGCAUAGCCGACCUGAGAGGGGGAUCGGCCACACUGGAACUGAGACACGGUCCAGACUCCUACGGGAGGCAGCAGUAGGGAAUCUGCCGCAAUGGGCGAAAGCCUGACGGAGCAACGCCGCGUAAGUGAUGAAGGUCUUCGGAUCGGAAAACUCUGUUAUUAGGGAAGAACAGAUGUGUAAGUAACUGUGCACAUCUUGACGGUACCGAAUCAGAAAGCCACGGCUAACUACGUG